AGAUGCUGGCAGAAGGCCUUCAAUUCGCCCGUCUUGUAACACGGACCAAGGAGUCUAACAUGUAUGCGAGCCGGUGGGUUUAACACCCAUGAGACGCAAGUAACCUGACUGGUGGGAUGGCUUAUGCCUGCACCAUCGACCGACCAUGAUCUUCUGUGAAAGGUUUGAGUACGAGCAUACCUGUUGGGACCCGAAAGAUGGUGAACUAUGCCUGAGCAGGGCGAAGCCAGAGGAAACUCUGGUGGAGGCUCGUAGAUGUGCUGACGUGCAAAUCGCUUUUCGGACUUGGGUAUAGGGGCGAAAGACUAAUCGAACCA
rnacentral:rRNA from 13 species